CGCAUGUGGCGUAAUUGGUAGCCGCACCAGACUUAGGAUCUGGCGGGGAAACCCGUGGGGGUUCGAGUCCCUCCAUGCGCA
rnacentral:tRNA from 1 species